GAUGAACGCUGGCGGCGUGCCUAAUACAUGCAAGUCGAACGCUGGAGAUCUAGCUUGCUAGAUCGAAGGAGUGGCGAACGGGUGAGUAAUACAUAAGCAACCUACCCACGAAGACUGGGAUAAUCUCUGGAAACGGGGACUAAUACCGGAUAGGUAAUCGGAAGGCAUCUUCUGAUUAUUAAAGGUUAAAAACACUGGUGGAUGGGCUUAUGGCGCAUUAGUUAGUUGGUGAGGUAACGGCCCACCAAGACGAUGAUGCGUAGCCGGCCUGAGAGGGUGAACGGCCACAUUGGGACUGAGACACGGCCCAGACUCCUACGGGAGGCAGCAGUAGGGAAUUUUCGGCAAUGGGGGAAACCCUGACCGAGCAACGCCGCGUGAGUGAUGACGGCCUUCGGGUUGUAAAGCUCUGUUGUAAGGGAAGAACGGUAGAUAGAGAAUAUCUAAGUGACGGACCUAC
rnacentral:rRNA from 1 species